rnacentral:rRNA from 1 species
AUGACGCCGUGGCAGCCAUCCCACACCUCCCCGUCGUUUCCCUCGGCGGAUAAGAGCAACCCCCGGCCCCCUCUUCCUCUCCCCCAAACCCUAGCCUCCUUUUUCCCUCCCACGCGCCGUCACUCUCGCCCCGCACCCACCCGAGCUCCUCCAUCGCCGCGUCGUCAUCGAUCCCGUGGCCACCGGCCAUCCCUCGUCGCCGAGCUUAGUCCAGGAGCACCACCGUCCUCUUCCUCAUCGACUGCAAGCCUCGAUUCGAGCGGGGCCACCCCGUACGCUCGCCAUCGAGGCCGUCCCCACCGCGUACAUCGCCGGUGUCCGCCGUCGUCGCCGCGACUCCAGUCCGCCUCCGGCCUCCCCGACCUCGCCUACUUCGACUACAUGGGCGAUAUCGAGCUGGAAGCCACCGGGACGCCCGCUGCUUCCCCGUCCUCAACCUCCAUCCGUCUCGGUCGCCGCUGCCGUCGCCAACGCCGGCCACCUCUACUGCUACUAAACCAUCGACGGGACCCCUUGCGCUCCCUACACCCCGAGGCCGAUGACGCCGCUGUGAUCGACUACGUCACCGACGAUCCCUCGUUCUUGUCUGAGCAACCAGGAGCCAGAUGCCAACGCCGAUGCCUACUACUACGUGGAGACCGAUGA